rnacentral:lncRNA from 1 species
GCGGAUAUCGCGGCCGCAAAUCGCGCUAUAAUCGCAUCGUUGCGCGAGCACCAGGAGAGAGGAAGGAAAAUCUAGAACAAAAAUUAAGAAAAUUGAAAAUCUGAAUGAUUUUCUCACUGUUUCUGAUGGAUGCCGACGAACUCCGACUCCGUUUUCCGAUCAAAUUUUGGUCUUUACGGCAAAGCUGAGUUAAGUGCGACUCGGAUUUGUAAAGAUGAUGGAGCUGCUGAGUUUUGCUGUAUUAGGGUUUUGAUUUGUUUUUAUUUUUUGUGAAAGACUUGUUUUUUAUUUUACUUUUAUUUUUUUCAGUCAAAAAAAAUUACUUUUAUUUUUUACAAAUAGGGGUUUUGAUAAAUAAAAAAUAUGUUUCAUUUUUUUUAAAAAAAAAAUUUAGAGUAAAC